GACGAACGCUGGCGGCGGGCUUAACACAUGCAAGUCGAACGGAAAGGCCCUGCUUUCGCGGGGUGCUCGCGUGGCGAACGGGUGAGUAACCCGUGAGUAACCUGCCCUUGACUUUGGGAUAACUUCAGGAAACUGGGGCUAAUACCGGAUAGGAGCUCCUGCUGCAUGGGGGGGGUUGGAAAGCUUCGGCGGUUGUGGAUGGAUUCUCGGCUUAUCAGCUUGUUGGUCGGGUAGUGGCCUACCAAGUCUUUGACUGGUAGCCUGCCUGAGAGCGUGACCGCCCACCUGGGUACUGCGGGACGGCCCAGUCUCCUACGGUGGACAGCAGGGGGGAAUAUUGCCCAACGGGCGGACGCCUGAUGCAGCGACGCCGCGUUCGGGAUGACGGCCUUCUGGUUGUAAACCGCUUUCGCCUGUGACGAAGCGGUAGUGACGGUAAUGGGUAAAGAAGCACCGGCUAACUACGUG
rnacentral:rRNA from 1 species